rnacentral:rRNA from 1 species
CACGUAGGAGACAAGCGUUAUUCGGAUUUACUGGGCGUAAAGCGCGUGCAGGCGGUCUGACAAGUUGGAUGUGAAAGCUCCUGGCUUAACUGGGAGAGGUCGUUCAAAACUAUCAGACUAGAGAGUGGUAGAGGAAGGCGGAAUUCCGGGUGUAGUGGUGAAAUGCGUAGAUAUCCGGAGGAACACCAGUGGCGAAAGCGGCCUUCUGGACCAAUUCUGACGCUCAGACGCGAAAGCUAGGGUAGCGAACGGGAUUAGAGACCCCGGUAGUCCUAGCCGUAAACGAUGUAGACUUGGCGUUGGUGGGGUAAAAUCCAUCAGUGCCGAAGCAAACGCGAUAAGUCUACCGCCUGGGGACUACGGCCGCAAGGUUAAA